rnacentral:tRNA from 1 species
GCGAAUGUAGCUCAGUUGGAGUAGAGCACCCGGCUACGAACCGGGAGGUCAGGAGUUCGAGUCUCUUCAUUCGCACCA